ensembl:lncRNA LINC01203 long intergenic non-protein coding RNA 1203
GUUAACAGGGGUCAUUGCUCGUAUGGAUGUGCAUGAUAAUGUGGGCCUAAAACACAGCCCAGCCCAUCUGAUCUUCCCUUAUAUAGGUAAGUGGUGGUGUCCCUAACACUUCUGUUACUAUGAUUUUGUUGUAGCUGUUCAAGUAAGAAAUGAUAGAGCUCUUACCAAUUUAAAAAAACAUUAUUUUUCUCACUUUUUAUAUUUUAGAAUAACUUUAUGAUUAACCUCUGAGUUUUGAGUGAUAGUGCCUAUCCUGGUUAUUGGUGUUUCUUACCACAGCAGUAACCAGGGGAUUUUUACAGGUGUCCUGUCAAGAAAUGACCGUCUUACCUGACAGUGGUAUUGAUCUUGCAUUAUUACAAGUAUCCAGGUAGAGUUUAUGUGUUCUGUAAUGAUGGAGUGACGAAGGUUAUUUUCAGAUGUCUUGGUGGAAAUGUUUGUGUCCUUUAACACAUAUUUCACAAUGUGUAUUUCAGGUUUCUGUAGUGAGACCCUGAUAAACCUAACAAUGGUUGGUAUGGCAGACAUUUCUGGUAUGCAGGCAAGUGAUGAUGUGUUCUUUAACCACAUCAUAGACCAUCAGAUCUUCUUAUAUCUUUUUUUUUUUUUUUUUUGACAGAGUCUCGCUUUGUCACCCAGGCUGGAGUGCAGUGGGGUGAUCUCGGCUCACUGCAGCCUCCACCUCCCAGGUUCAAGCGAUUCUCGUGCCUCUGCAUCCUGAAUAGCUGGGAUUACAGGUGUGCACCACCACAUCCUGCUGAUUUUUGUAUUUUGAGAGAUGGGGUUUUGGCACGUUGGCCAAGCUGGUCUCGAACUCCUGGCUUCAAGCAGUCCACCCACCUUGGCCUCCCAAAGUGCUGGAAUUACAGGCGUGCACCACCACGCCCGGCCAGAUCUUCAUAUAUCUAAGAUCCUGUCAAGAAGACAUGGUAAACCUCAUCAUGAUCAAGAAUGAGACUUUGCUUGCAUCCAGGCUUCCCAAAAGUUGUUUGAUAGUAUACAGGCAUGAGAUGGUGUGACUCUAACUCAUUAGAUGCCUUCGUCUUUUCAGUCAUCAUGUGAUGGAAAGAAAGCUAUCAACUUCAUUCCUGAGACUUCCUGCAACACAGAUCCAUCUAAACUUUUACUUCAUUGGAGGGUCCUUCCUGACCCAUGCAACUCAACAAAAAACUCUCACAGUUUUUAUAUGCUUUGUUGGGGAUUAACCCAUCUUGCAUUGCAUUGCUAGCUUAGUAUGUCUAGCAUGGGCAUGCCUGCUGAAGUUUGGAACUUCCCAUCAAGGAAACAGGAAAAUGCCAUUGGCAAUGAGCUGAAGACUGAUUUACUCUACCAGUUUGGAACAUCUGUUAUUGCUGCUACUACGGUUUCUAUCACUGUUUGAUGCUGGGACUCUUAAGCUCCAACCACGUUUUCACCGAGCUGAGUCGCCUUCUUAUCACCCCUUUCUGGAGCAGCAGGACAUCUGGGGAUGAGAAGAUGGAGAGAUCAUCCUUAUAUAAUGUUGCAGUCUGGAAGCAUCACUCUCAAAAAGCCAUUGUAGAGAAUCCAAGCCGAGUUUAAGAGUGCUGUGGAAAUACACUGCUGCUACUGCUGUUUCUAUUACUGUUUGAUGCUGGGACUCUUAUGCUCCAACCACGUUUUCACCCAGCUGAGUCGCCUUCGUAUCACGCCUUUCCACUCAGAGAGGAAGAAAGGACCGUGUGAGAGAAGAAGGGAACAGCCUUUCAUCCAUAGGAGAAGUUCGUCUAUGACAAAGCCACUAGCUCCAUGUGGCCGCUGAGCACUCAAAAUGUGGCCAGUCUGAAUUGAGAUAUGUUGUUAGUAUAAAGUCCACAUCGGCUUUUUGAGCACUUUGUAUGAGAAAAAAGAAUACCAAAUAUCUCCUUAAUAAUUGUUACAUUGAUUAUAUGUUGAACUGAUAACAUUAUGGAUAUAUUGGAUUAAAUAAAAUAAAUUAUUAAAAUCAAAUAAAAAAUAAAAUC